rnacentral:rRNA from 1 species
GACAGAGGGUGCAAACGUUGUUCGGAAUUACUGGGCGUAAAGCGUGUGUAGGCGGUGAGGUAAGUCAGGUGUGAAAUCCCGGAGCUCAACUUCGGAAGUGCACUUGAUACUGCUUCGCUUGAGUACUGGAGAGGUUGGUGGAAUUCUCGGUGUAGAGGUGAAAUUCGUAGAUAUCGAGAGGAACAUCGGUGGCGAAGGCGGCCAACUGGACAGAUACUGACGCUGAGACACGAAAGCGCGGGGAGCAAACAGG